GUUAAGCGACUAAGCGUACACGGUGGAUGCCCUGGCAGUCAGAGGCGAUGAAGGACGUGCUAAUCUGCGAUAAGCGUCGGUAAGGUGAUAUGAACCGUUAUAACCGGCGAUUUCCGAAUGGGGAAACCCAGUGUGUUUCGACACACUAUCAUUAACUGAAUCCAUAGGUUAAUGAGGCGAACCGGGGGAACUGAAACAUCUAAGUACCCCGAGGAAAAGAAAUCAACCGAGAUUCCCCCAGUAGCGGCGAGCGAACGGGGAGCAGCCCAGAGCCUGAAUCAGUGUGUGUGUUAGUGGAAGCGUCUGGAAAGGCGCGCGAUACAGGGUGACAGCCCCGUACACAAAAAUGCACAUGCUGUGAGCUCGAUGAGUAGGGCGGGACACGUGGUAUCCUGUCUGAAUAUGGGGGGACCAUCCUCCAAGGCUAAAUACUCCUGACUGACCGAUAGUGAACCAGUACCGUGAGGGAAAGGCGAAAAGAACCCCGGCGAGGGGAGUGAAAAAGAACCUGAAACCGUGUACGUACAAGCAGUGGGAGCACGCUUAGGCGUGUGACUGCGUACCUUUUGUAUAAUGGGUCAGCGACUUAUAUUCUGUAGCAAGGUUAACCGAAUAGGGGAGCCGAAGGGAAACCGAGUCUUAACUGGGCGUUAAGUUGCAGGGUAUAGACCCGAAACCCGGUGAUCUAGCCAUGGGCAGGUUGAAGGUUGGGUAACACUAACUGGAGGACCGAACCGACUAAUGUUGAAAAAUUAGCGGAUGACUUGUGGCUGGGGGUGAAAGGCCAAUCAAACCGGGAGAUAGCUGGUUCUCCCCGAAAGCUAUUUAGGUAGCGCCUCGUGAAUUCAUCUCCGGGGGUAGAGCACUGUUUCGGCAAGGGGGUCAUCCCGACUUACCAACCCGAUGCAAACUGCGAAUACCGGAGAAUGUUAUCACGGGAGACACACGGCGGGUGCUAACGUCCGUCGUGAAGAGGGAAACAACCCAGACCGCCAGCUAAGGUCCCAAAGUCAUGGUUAAGUGGGAAACGAUGUGGGAAGGCCCAGACAGCCAGGAUGUUGGCUUAGAAGCAGCCAUCAUUUAAAGAAAGCGUAAUAGCUCACUGGUCGAGUCGGCCUGCGCGGAAGAUGUAACGGGGCUAAACCAUGCACCGAAGCUGCGGCAGCGACGCUUAUGCGUUGUUGGGUAGGGGAGCGUUCUGUAAGCCUGCGAAGGUGUGCUGUGAGGCAUGCUGGAGGUAUCAGAAGUGCGAAUGCUGACAUAAGUAACGAUAAAGCGGGUGAAAAGCCCGCUCGCCGGAAGACCAAGGGUUCCUGUCCAACGUUAA
rnacentral:rRNA from 1 species